CUUUGAAAUCUGGCAGCUUCGCUGUCCGAGUUGUAGUCUCGAGAAGUGUUUUCCGCGCUGGACCAUGUAUGAGUCUGUUGGAAUACAGCGUCAUAGAGGGUGAGAACCCCGUUCAUGACAUGCCUUCCAGUGCUUUGUGAUACACUUUCGAUGAGUCGAGUUGUUUGGGAAUGCAGCUCAAAAUGGGUGGUAAAUUCCAUCUAAAGCUAAAUAUUGGGGAGAGACCGAUAGCAAACAAGUACCGUGAGGGAAAGAUGAAAAGCACUUUGGAAAGAGAGUUAACAGUACGUGAAAUUGUCGAAAGGGAAACGCUUGAAGUCAGACGUGCGUAGUGCCUUCGGGUGCUGUUGCAGGCCAGCAUCAGUUUUUCGAGCCGGAUAAAGGUGGGAGGAAGGUAGCAGUCUCGGCUGUGUUAUAGCCUCCCACUGAAUACGGAUUGUGAGACUGAGGAAUGCGAUUCUAGGAUGCUGGUGAAAUGGCUUUAAACGAC
rnacentral:rRNA from 1 species